rnacentral:rRNA from 1 species
UACGUAGGGUGCGAGCGUUGUCCGGAAUUACUGGGCGUAAAGAGCUCGUAGGUGGUUUGUCGCGUUGUUCGUGAAAUCUCACGGCUUAACUGUGAGCGUGCGGGCGAUACGGGCAGACUAGAGUACUGCAGGGGAGACUGGAAUUCCUGGUGUAGCGGUGGAAUGCGCAGAUAUCAGGAGGAGCACCGGUGGCGAAGGCGGGUCUCUGGGCAGUAACUGACGCUGAGGAGCGAAAGCGUGGGGAGCGAACAGG